rnacentral:rRNA from 1 species
CCUACGGGAGGCUGCAGUGAGGAAUAUUGGUCAAUGGACGAGAGUCUGAACCAGCCAAGUAGCGUGAAGGAUGACUGCCCUAUGGGUUGUAAACUUCUUUUAUAUGGGAAUAAAAUGUUCCACGUGUGGGAUUUUGUAUGUACCAUAUGAAUAAGGAUCGGCUAACUCCGUGCCAGCAGCCGCGGUAAUACGGAGGAGCCGAGCGUUAUCCGGAUUUAUUGGGUUUAAAGGGAGCGUAGGUGGAUUGUUAAGUCAGUUGUGAAAGUUUGCGGCUCAACCGUAAAAUUGCAGUUGAAACUGGCAGUCUUGAGUACAGUAGAGGUGGGCGGAAUUCGUGGUGUAGCGGUGAAAUGCUUAGAUAUCACGAAGAACUCCGAUUGCGAAGGCAGUUCACUGGACUGCAACUGACACUGAGGCUCGAAAGUGUGGGUAUCAAACAGGAUUAGAUACCCGUGUAGUC